UACGUAGGGUACAAGCGUUGUCCGGAAUUAUUGGGCGUAAAGAGCUCGUAGGCGGUUUGUCGCGUCGAAUGUGAAAACCCGGGGCUCAACCCCGGGCCUGCAUUCGAUACGGGCAGACUAGAGUUCGGUAGGGGAGUCUGGAAUUCCUGGUGUAGCGGUGAAAUGCGCAGAUAUCAGGAGGAACACCGGUGGCGAAGGCGGGACUCUGGGCCGGCCCUGACACUGAGACGCGAAGGCGUGGGGAGCGAACGGG
rnacentral:rRNA from 1 species